UACGAAGGGUGCAAGCGUUACUCGGAAUUACUGGGCGUAAAGGGUGCGUAGGUGGUUGUUUAAGUCUGUUGUGAAAGCCCCGGGCUCAACCUGGGAAUGGCAAUGGAUACUGGACAGCUAGAGUGCGGUAGAGGGUAGUGGAAUUCCCGGUGUAGCAGUGAAAUGCGUAGAGAUCGGGAGGAACACCGGUGGCGAAGGCGGCGACCUGGGUCGAGACUGACGCUGAGGCGCGAAAGCGUGGGGAGCAAACAGG
rnacentral:rRNA from 1 species